GAUGAACGCUGGCGGCGUGCCUAAUACAUGCAAGUCGAGCGAACAGACGAGGAGCUUGCUCCUCUGACGUUAGCGGCGGACGGGUGAGUAACACGUGGAUAACCUACCUAUAAGACUGGGAUAACUUCGGGAAACCGGAGCUAAUACCGGAUAACAUUUUGAACCGCAUGGUUCAAAAGUGAAAGACGGUCUUGCUGUCACUUAUAGAUGGAUCCGCGCCGCAUUAGCUAGUUGGUAAGGUAACGGCUUACCAAGGCAGCGAUGCGUAGCCGACCUGAGAGGGUGAUCGGCCACACUGGAACUGAGGCACGGUCCAGACUCCUACGGGAGGCAGCAGUAGGGAAUCUUCCGCAAUGGGCGAAAGCCUGACGGAGCAACGCCGCGUGAGUGAAGAAGGUCUUCGGAUCGUAAAACUCUGUUAUUAGGGAAGAACAUAUGUGUAAGUAACUAUGCACGUCUUGACGGUACCUAAUCAGAAAGCCACGGCUAACUACGUG
rnacentral:rRNA from 1 species